GUGCUCACUUCAGCAGCAUAUAUACUAAAAUUGCAAUGAUGUAGAGAAAAUUAGCAUGGCCCCUUGUGCAAGGAUGAAGAAAAAAAAUAAGUGAGGGAGCUGAGACAGAU